UUGAACCUUCAACACUCAGCUUAGCUCAGGCUAUUCUAGCUACAAGUGCUUCUUUUCCCUACAGUUCAAUGACAUGUGUAAAGUGUUUAUGCAGGUAGCGUGGGGUUUAAAGGGAAACUGAACGCCAAAAAUAAGUAUGGCUUAUCCGAAGGGGAAUUGGGCACUGAUUCCGAUGAGCUAUGUCUCGAGCCGAUCAGAGAAGAGGAACUGUGUCAAAUUCCAUAAAUAACACCUCCCAUAUUUGGAAAUUGGCCUUGAUGACGUGCGUACUGCUUAGCUGUCACCAUGCUGUGCAUGUUCAGCAGUGUAAUUGAAUGGAAGAAAACAAUUACUUUGGUGUUUUGCAGCUCUGUUUCGUUCCCUGACGGUAACCAAAUCUAGAUGUAGGAAUCUGUUGAGCAGGAGAGUGACACAUGUCUUCCCGAAGGCUGUCCAGGCUGCAGUGGUGAUGAAGAAGACACGAUCAUCACCCCGAGAUCAAUCGUAGCGAAUUGGAAAACUCAUGGUGAAUUUGCUUCCACGCCAAGGCAAUGUCGAGGUAUGAAGGGUGCUUGUACUGCCUUCCAAAGUGAAGAGGAGAUGAACAUGGCUUUGCAUAGCUGUUGUUCUAUGCCAACUAACUUACCUACUCUUGCUGGUGCCGUAGUGGCAUAUUGCAAAUUUCGUGGACGAACAACUCUAGUCACUAGUGGCUAGUGAGCAACACUAACAGACCAGAAUGCUUCGCUAUCAACUCCUGGCUUUCCAUCGGCAUGGUGUUCAGGUGCAGCGGCAUCUGGUCCGGGGAGUUCAAGUUGCUGGAUGGCUGCACUGACACAGGAUGGGUUUGCGUUGGCAAUGCGAUACGGCAGUCAUCCCACAUCACGAGCUACAUGUUUAUGUAAUUUAUAUUGUCGCUCGUUCAGCAACGUCAAGGCUCUGCAUGUAAACACAGGAGAACACCAUAAUACUACUCAGGGGAUAAUAAUUUUGGAUAUCAAUUUCGUGACAAUUAUUAGAUUCACACAAUAUUCACAACGUAUGCAACACGAUGCUGUCUAUUGACACUACUUCAAAUUGAAGUGCUCACUACUCCUCUCCCGUUUUUAUCUCCCUCUACCUUAUGAAUACUCUGCAUUACUGGUUUCAUUUCUACCCUUUCCAUUGCUGCCAGCUCCCAGUCUUUUUCAAUGCACAGCACCACCUUGACAGUCAUUUUUGUGAUUUGAUGUACACAUACUUUGAAGUUCAAAUUCGAAUUACAUGAUCAGAUUUUUGUUCCACAUUUUCUAUUUAUUUUUACUUCAAGCA